GCUUAGAGUUUGAUCCUGGCUCAGGAUGAACGCUGGCGGCGUGCUUAACACAUGCAAGUCGAACGAAGUCUUUCGGGACUUAGUGGCGGACGGGUGAGUAACGCGUGAGGAUCUGCCCUUAGGUAGGGGACAACAGUUGGAAACGACUGCUAAUACCGUAUAUGGCGAGAGCUGAAAGAUUUAUCGCCUGAGGAUGAACUCGCGUCUGAUUAGCUAGUUGGGGGUGUAAGGGACUCCCAAGGCGACGAUCAGUAGCUGGUCUGAGAGGAUGAUCAGCCACACUGGGACUGAGACACGGCCCAGACUCCUACGGGAGGCAGCAGUGGGGAAUUUUCCGCAAUGGGGGCAACCCUGACGGAGCAACGCCGCGUGGGGGAGGAAUGUCUGUGGAUUGUAAACCCCUUUUCUCAGGGAAGAAGCUCUGACGGUACCUGAGGAAUCAGCAUCGGCUAACUCCGUGCCAGCAGCCGCGGUAAUACGGAGGAUGCGAGCGUUAUCCGGAAUUAUUGGGCGUAAAGCGUCCGUAGGCGGUUAGUUAAGUCAGUUGUUAAAGACUACAGCUCAACUGUGGGAGAGCAACUGAAACUGAUUAACUAGAGUGCGAUAGGGGUAGAGGGAAUUCCCAGUGUAGCGGUGAAAUGCGUAGAUAUUGGGAAGAACACCAGUGGCGAAGGCGCUCUACUGGGUCGCAACUGACGCUGAGGGACGAAAGCUAGGGGAGCGAAAGGGAUUAGAUACCCCUGUAGUC
rnacentral:rRNA from 1 species